rnacentral:rRNA from 1 species
CCCGGUGGCCACAGCAGGGUGGACACACCCGUUCCCAUCCCGAACACGGAAGUUAAGCACCCUCACGCCGAUGGUACU